UUUAUGCAUAUCAAUAAGCGGAGGAAAAGAAACCAACCGGGAUUGCCCCAGUAACGGCGAGUGAAGCGGCAACAGCUCAAAUUUGAAAUCUGAGGUCGUUUGGGCCUUCGAGUUGUAGUUUGCAGAGGGAGCCUCGGAGGGCGUGCCGGCCCAAGUGCCUUGGAACAGGAUACCGCAGAGGGUGAGAGUCCCGUAUCCGGCCGGUGGCGCGCUCCGUGUGAGGCCUCUUCGACGAGUCGAGUUGUUUGGGAAUGCAGCUCCAAGCGGGUGGUAAAUUCCAUCUAAAGCUAAAUACUGGCCAGAGACCGAUAGCGAACAAGUAGAGUGAUCGAAAGAUGAAAAGCACUUUGAAAAGAGAGUCAAACAGUACGUGAAAUUGUUGAAAGGGAAGCGCAUGGGGGCAGACUUGGCCGCGGGGUUCAGGGUGCGUUCUCGCGCCUGCACUUCCCCGCGGACAGGCCAGCAUCGGUUCUGGGGGCCGGACAAAGGGGCCGGGAAGGUAGCCGCCUUCGGGCGGUGUUAUAGCCCGGCGCGCAAUGCGGCCACCUGGGACCGAGGACCGCGCUUCGGCAAGGAUGCUGGCGUAAUGGCCUCAUGCGGCCCGUCUUGAAACACGGACC
rnacentral:rRNA from 2 species